GACGAACGCUGGCGGCGUGCUUAACACAUGCAAGUCGAACGGAAAGGCCCUGCUUGCAGGGUACUCGAGUGGCGAACGGGUGAGUAACACGUGGGUGAUCUGCCCUGCACUUCGGGAUAAGCCUGGGAAACUGGGUCUAAUACCGGAUAGGAGCCAUUUUUAGUGUGAUGGUUGGAAAGUUUUUUCGGUGUAGGAUGAGCUCGCGGCCUAUCAGCUUGUUGGUGGGGUAAUGGCCUACCAAGGCGGCGACGGGUAGCCGGCCUGAGAGGGUGGACGGCCACAGUGGGACUGAGAUACGGCACAGACUCCGACGGGAGGGAGCAGGGGGGAAUAUUGCACAAGGGGCGCAAGCCUGAUGCAGCGACGCCGCGUGGGGGAUGACGGCCUUCGGGUUGUAAACUCCUUUCGCUAGGGACGAAGCUUUUUGUGACGGUACCUAGAUAAGAAGCACCGGCUAACUACGUG
rnacentral:rRNA from 1 species